GAGCGGGCGCACGGCUGGUGCCGGCCCUGGUCUUCAAAACCAGUCGGGCGGCCUGGAGACAGGUCGCCGGUGGGUUCGAUUCCCAUACGCUCCC
rnacentral:tRNA from 1 species